GAAUUUUGUCCGGGAAUAAUUUUGUGUUAAAAAAAAUUAAAAAAAAUGCAUUUUGACCCCUGUACUUUUUGAAAUUUACAUUUUGACCCUGUACUUUUCAAAAUUACAUUUCAACCCUUAAACUUUCUCAAAAUUUUACUUUAACCCCUAAAAUUUUAAGAAAUUACAUUUUGGCCCAUAUUUUUUCUAAAAUUGCACUUUUGCCCCAGAAGCUUUGCAUCCUAUGCAAUUUGGACCUCCUGGACUUGUCAAAUCACCGCAAUAGCAGCCAAGCGUACCCCUCCCCAGCCAAGCUACUCCAGCAGCCUCCCUAGGCCAUGAUGCCCUCCUCUGCCACCUGCAAACAAGAAGAAAAUGACAAAAUUGGGGGGAUUAAAAAGGAGGAAAUUGAAGAGAAAUGGGGGGAUUUUUCGGCAGCAAAAAAAACAAAAAAACAGCAGAGAAAAUUAAAAAAAAGCAGCAAGCAAAGCCUCCACCAUCUUCCCGUAACCACCAUCGUCACACCGCCGUUGUGACUCCACCACCGCGUUGCUCCUAUACAAACAAGCCAAGAGAAAACAAAAAGCAACCCAAACAGUAAAGAGAUAGGGAAGAAAGAAAGGAAGGAAGGAAGAAAAUGAAAAAGGGAGAAAGAAAAGGGGAAGAGGGGAACCAUCCAUAGCCACCGAGGGUGGAGGAGACUGGCGCGAGUGACGGCAACGGCGCGGGGCUGGGUGUGACCCGAAGAAGAAGAAGGAAAAAAGAAAGAAAAAGAAGAAGAAAAAGAGAGAAAAAAGAAAGAGAAAAAAAGGAAAAAAAAAGAAAAGAAAAAUCAACAGUCGGGUCAACCCGACCCGACCACCCGACCCGACCCGGAUCCGACCCAAACUGCAGCAGCCUCCACCAGCAGUUCAACAGCAGACUGAAGUGGGCCCAAUAGCAGUGACGGCCCAAGCAGCAAAAACCAAAAAAAAACACAAAGCAAAGCAAAAAAAGAACCAGAAAAAAAAACAAUAGGUAGCAGGCCCAAUAGCAGUAACAGCCCAGCAGAAGAAGAGAAAAAGGAAGCAGGCCCACUUUUGCGCAGGCCCAGCGCAGGUCCAGCAGC
rnacentral:lncRNA from 1 species